GUCAGGGUCUGAGGUUAACCCCCCAGCACCAUAAAUGAAUAAAUAAAAAUGGUGGCUCAAGAAUUUAUACAUAGAAGGAUGGACGGGGCGCUCUUGCUGAACGAAAGCUGAUCUGUGACAGCAGUGGAACCCUGCAGUUCGAUUCUCAGCCUGUCUGCCUCCUGCCCUGGGCUUCCCUCCUCUGCCAAGUCACAGCCAAGUUUCGCCUCGCUAACUGCGACAGCCUUUGGAUGUUUAUUUUUGCUGGCCAAGACCUGCCCUCUGUCUGCCAGCAGAGCCAGCUGAAACAGAUGGAGCCACUACUGAAGCCCCUGGCUUCCUUCAGUCCCACGCAGUUCUGAACUUCACCUUCGCCUACAAGCCCCUGCCCGCCUGUCCACUGAGGCCGCUCUCACCAUCCCCUCCCUGGCCUUCUCCAGCCAAAGAGCUCUGGCCUGCUCUGCAAGCGCCCGCGGUUCUUGAGCGCCUCCCAGCCUGUGCAGACCUCAAUUCCAACCCUGCACAGGCAACAUAGGUCCACAGUAUAGAAGUGAAAAGGCUCAGGAGGGUGUAUAUCUCAGAACUCUCUCCUAUGCCUUCCUUUCCUGCCCUACAGCAACCUCUUUAGAGGCAUCACAGGUACCAUUUAUUCUCUUAUGUGGUCUUCUGGAAAUAAUUUAUGCACAAAUAAAUACGUAAAAGCUCUUUCCCUCCUGGCUCAAAUCGCAGCAUUCCACACAUCCUGCUCUGCACCUUCUUUAAGUUAAACAGAUUGUGAAGUUCAUCAUGGUCCUUUUCUUUUUUGUGGCUGUAUACUAUUCCAGAGUAGGGAGUCAUGUCAUGACUGACUUAAGCAACACUUUACACUUGGAUGUUUCCCAUCUUUCCGUGCAUGCUGCAAUGAAGAACUUUGAAUUAAGCCGGACAUGGUGGUGCUUGCCUGUAACUCCAGCAUUUAAGA